CCUACGGGAGGCAGCAGUGAGGAAUCUUCCGCAAUGGGCGAAAGCCUGACGGAGCGACACCGCGUGGAGGAAGAAUGCCUUUUGGUUGUAAACUCCUUUUCUGAGGGAAGAAAUUUUUGACGGUACCUCAGGAAGAAGCAUCGGCUAACUACGUGCCAGCAGCCGCGGUAAGACGUAGGAUGCGAGCGUUACUCGGAAUUACUGGGCGUAAAGCGUCUGUAGGCGGCUUGGAAAGUCUGAGGUCAAAUGGCGACGCUCAACGUCGUCAACGUCUCGGAAACUCCCAGGCUAGAGCAACAGAGAGGCACCUGGAAUACCGUGUGUAGGGGUAAAAUCCGUUGAUCCACGGUAGAACGCUAAAAGCGAAGGCAGGGUGCUGGAGGUUCGCUGACGCUGAGAGACGAAAGCGUGGGGAGCGAACGGGAUUAGAUACCCCAGUAGUC
rnacentral:rRNA from 1 species